GACGAACGCUGGCGGCGUGCUUAACACAUGCAAGUCGAACGGAAAGGCCCUGCUUUUGUGGGGUGCUCGAGUGGCGAACGGGUGAGUAACACGUGAGUAACCUGCCCUUGACUUUGGGAUAACUUCAGGAAACUGGGGCUAAUACCGGAUAGGAGCUCCUGCUGCAUGGUGGGGGUUGGAACGUUUCGGCGGUUGGGGAUGGACUCGCGGCUUAUCAGCUUGUUGGUGGGGUAGUGGCUUACCAAGGCUUUGACGGGUUGCCGGCCUGAGAGGGUGACCGGCCACAUUGGGACUGAGAUACGGCCCAGACUCCUACGGGAGGCAGCAGUGGGGAAUAUUGCACAAUGGGCGGAAGCCUGAUGCAGCAACGCCGUGUGCGGGAUGACGGCCUUCGGGUUGUAAACCGCUUUCGCCUGUGACGAAGCGUGAGUGACGGUAAUGGGUAAAGAAGCACCGGCUAACUACGUG
rnacentral:rRNA from 1 species